rnacentral:rRNA from 1 species
UACGUAGGGUGCGAGCGUUGUCCGGAAUUAUUGGGCGUAAAGGGCGCGUAGGCGGUACGGUAAGUCACCUGUGAAAUCUCCUGGCUCAACUGGGAGCUUGCAGGCGAAACUGCCGUGCUGGAGUGUGGGAGAGGUGCGUGGAAUUCCUGGUGUAGCGGUGAAAUGCGUAGAUAUCAGGAGGAACACCUGUGGCGAAAGCGGCGCACUGGACCACAACUGACGCUGAGGCGCGAAAGCUAGGGGAGCAAACAGG